rnacentral:misc_RNA from 1 species
UUACUGGCAGAUCUUUUUCGAAGAUGGUUAAGAGUCGUCAUCGCAUGCUGCUUAAAAAAUUGAUAUACGAAAUGCGAACAAAUAAUACAAAACAAAGAAAUAUUAAGCACGUUAAAACGUUUCUAACCUCUCUACUGGCACGAAUGAGACUAGUACGGCGACCGCGGGAAAUACGAAUGCGUAUAAUUUUUCUUUUCAUUGAUAAAAUAAUAGUUUAUUAAAUUUAGUGAUUAAUUAAAAGAAAAGUUACUAAGCGUGAAAGUUAAAAUUGCAUAGUUAACACGUUAAUGGCCGCGUAAAUUUUAAAUAUCCUGCCUAUAGCGCCGAAGCGCUAUCACUUAUUUUAAAAUAAUAUAUACCAUAAUAUCAUAAUGUCCAUAUAAUAUAAACAUAUCCCAG